rnacentral:rRNA from 1 species
UACAGAGGUGGCAAGCGUUGUUCGGAAUUACUGGGCGUAAAGGGCGCGUAGGCGGCUCGGUCAGUCCCGUGUGAAAUCCCUCGGCUCAACUGAGGAACUGCACGGGAAACUGCCUGGCUUGAGUUCGGGAGAGGGAAGCGGAAUUCCGGGUGUAGCGGUGAAAUGCGUAGAUAUCGGGAGGAACACCAGUGGCGAAGGCGAGUCUCUGGGAUGAUACUGACGCUGAUGCUCGAAAGCUAGGGGAGCAAACGGG